rnacentral:rRNA from 1 species
CACCGCGGUUAAACGAGAGGCCCUAGUUGACAAUACAACGGCGUAAAGGGUGGUUAGGGAGAGCAAAACAAUAAAGCCAAAUGGCCCCUUGGCCGUCAUACGCUUCUAGGUGCCCGAAGCCCAAUAUACGAAAGUAGCUUUAGAAGAGCCCACCUGACGCCACGAAAGCUGAGGAA